rnacentral:rRNA from 1 species
GACGGGGGGGGCAAGUGUUCUUCGGAAUGACUGGGCGUAAAGGGCACGUAGGCGGUGAAUCGGGUUGAAAGUGAAAGUCGCCAAAAAGUGGCGGAAUGCUCUCGAAACCAAUUCACUUGAGUGAGACAGAGGAGAGUGGAAUUUCGUGUGUAGGGGUGAAAUCCGUAGAUCUACGAAGGAACGCCAAAAGCGAAGGCGGCAUCCUGGCCCUGUCCUGACGCUCAGGGGCGAAAGCGUGGGGAGCAAACCGG